rfam:Bacillus sp. FJAT-27264 scaffold4, whole genome shotgun sequence.
AAUUUGGAGAGUUUGAUCCUGGCUCAGGACGAACGCUGGCGGCGUGCCUAAUACAUGCAAGUCGAGCGGACUUGAUGGAGUGCUUGCACUCCUGAUGGUUAGCGGCGGACGGGUGAGUAACACGUAGGCAACCUGCCCCACAGACUGGGAUAACUACCGGAAACGGUAGCUAAUACCGGAUAAUUCCUUUUGGCUCCUGCUAGGAGGAUGAAAGACGGAGCAAUCU